GCCUACGGGAGGCAGCAGUGAGGAAUAUUGGUCAAUGGCCGAGAGGCUGAACCAGCCAAGUAGCGUGCAGGAUGACGGCCCUCGUGGUUGUAAACUGCUUUUAGUCGGGAAUAAAAGGGGGUUCGUGAACCCCGGAUUGUAUGUACCGACAGAAAAAGGACCGGCUAAUUCCGUGCCAGCAGGCGCGGUAAAACGGAGGAUCCGAGCGUUAUCCGGAUUUAUUGGGUUUAAAGGGUGCGUA
rnacentral:rRNA from 1 species